rnacentral:rRNA from 1 species
AGAGUUUGAUCAUGGCUCAGAAUCAACGCUGGCGGCGUGCCUAACACAUGCAAGUCGAACGCGAAAGGGGAGCAAUCCCUGAGUAGAGUGGCAAACGGGUGAGUAACACGUGGGUGACCUACCUUCGAGUGGGGGAUAACGUCCCGAAAGGGACGCUAAUACCGCAUAACAUCCUGCCUUUGAAGAGGUGGAGAUCAAAGCCGGGGACCGCAAGGCCUGGCGCUCAAAGAGGGGCCCGCGCCUGAUUAGCUAGUUGGUGAGGUAACGGCCCACCAAGGCGACGAUCAGUAUCCGGCCUGAGAGGGCGGACGGACACACUGGGACUGAGACACGGCCCAGACUCCUACGGGAGGCAGCAGUGGGGAAUAUUGGACAAUGGGCGCAAGCCUGAUCCAGCCACGCCGCGUGAGUGAUGAAGGCCCUCGGGUCGUAAAGCUCUGUGGGGAGGGACGAACCGCUGGAUGUGCAUAGCAUCCAGCAUGACGGUACCUCCUUAGCAAGCACCGGCUAACUUCGUGCCAGCCGCCGCGGUAAUUC